rnacentral:rRNA from 1 species
UACGUAGGGGGCAAGCGUUAUCCGGAUUUACUGGGUGUAAAGGGAGCGCAGGCGGCGCGGCAAGUCUGAUGUGAAAGCCCGGGGCUCAACCCCGGGACUGCAUUUGGAACUGUGCUGCUAGAGUGUCGGAGAGGCAGGCGGAAUUCCUAGUGUAGCGGUGAAAUGCGUAGAUAUUAGGAGGAACACCAGUGGCGAAGGCGGCUUACUGGACUGUAAAUGACGCUGAGGCUCGAAAGCGUGGGGAGCAAACAGG